rnacentral:rRNA from 1 species
UUUAUGGAGAGUUUGAUCCUGGCUCAGGAUGAACGCUGGCGGCGUGCCUAAUACAUGCAAGUCGAGCGAACGGACGAGAAGCUUGCUUCUCUGAUGUUAGAGGCGGACGGGUGAGGAACACGUGGAUAACCUACCUAUAAGACUGGGAUAACUUCGGGAAACCGGAGCUAAUACCGGAUAAUAUUUUGAACCGCAUGGUUCAAAAGUGAAAGACGGUCUUGCUGUCACUUAUAGAUGGAUCCGCGCUGCAUUAGCUAGUUGGUAAGGU